rnacentral:rRNA from 1 species
AUUGAACGCUGGCGGCAGGCUUAACACAUGCAAGUCGAGCGGGGGAAGGUAGCUUGCUACCGGACCUAGCGGCGGACGGGUGAGUAAUGCUUAGGAAUCUGCCUAUUAGUGGGGGACAACAUCUCGAAAGGGAUGCUAAUACCGCAUACGUCCUACGGGAGAAAGCGGGGGAUCUUCGGACCUUGCGCUAAUAGAUGAGCCUAAGGCGGAUUAGCUAGUUGGUGGGGUAAAGGCCUACCAAGGCGACGAUCUGUAGCGGGUCUGAGAGGAUGAUCCGCCACACUGGGACUGAGACACGGCCCGGACUCCUACGGGAGGCAGCAGUGGGGAAUAUUGGACAAUGGGGGGAACCCUGAUCCAGCCAUGCCGCGUGUGUGAAGAAGGCCUUAUGGUUGUAAAGCACUUUAAGCGAGGAGGAGGCUACUCUAGUUAAUACCUAGGGAUAGUGGACGUUACUCGCAGGAUAAGCACCGGCUAACUCUGUGCCAGCCGCCGCAGUAA